GCUUCGAUAGCUCAGUGGUAGAGCGUGGGAUUGCAGAUCCUAAGGUCACCGGUUCGACCCCGGUUCGGAGCU
rnacentral:tRNA from 1 species